GGCCUAAUGGCCCAAUGGCAAGGCGCUUGACUACGAAUCAAGAGAUUCCAGGUUGUAAGUUUACACCACACCACACCACCUGAUCAAUCGGUCCUUCGAGUCAGUUGACUAACAUUGUUACAGCGACCCCUGGUUAGGUCA
rnacentral:tRNA from 1 species